rnacentral:rRNA from 1 species
CCUACGGGGGGCUGCAGUGGGGAAUAUUGGACAAUGGGGGGAACCCUGAUCCAGCCAUGCCGCGUGUGUGAAGAAGGCCCUCGGGUUGUAAAGCACUUUCAGUGAGGAAGAACGCCUGGUGGUUAAUACCCAUCAGGAAAGACAUCACUCACAGAAGAAGCACCGGCUAACUCCGUGCCAGCAGCCGCGGUAAUACGGAGGGUGCGAGCGUUAAUCGGAAUUACUGGGCGUAAAGCGCGCGUAGGUGGCUUGAUAAGCCGGUUGUGAAAGCCCCGGGCUCAACCUGGGAACGGCAUCCGGAACUGUCAAGCUAGAGUGCAGGAGAGGAAGGUAGAAUUCCCGGUGUAGCGGUGAAAUGCGUAGAGAUCGGGAGGAAUACCAGUGGCGAAGGCGGCCUUCUGGACUGACACUGACACUGAGGUGCGAAAGCGUGGGUAGCAAACAGGAUUAGAUACCCUUGUAGU